CAGUCGCCACGGUAAUACAGAGGGUGCGAGCGUUAAUCGGAUUUACUGGGCGUAAAGCGUGCGUAGGCGGCUUUUUAAGUCGGAUGUGAAAUCCCUGAGCUUAACUUAGGAAUUGCAUUCGAUACUGGGAAGCUAGAGUAUGGGAGAGGAUGGUAGAAUUCCAGGUGUAGCGGUGAAAUGCGUAGAGAUCUGGAGGAAUACCGAUGGCGAAGGCAGCCAUCUGGCCUAAUACUGACGCUGAGGUACGAAAGCAUGUGGAGCAAACAGGAUUAGAUACCCGGGUAGUCCCUGUCUCUUAUAC
rnacentral:rRNA from 1 species